rnacentral:rRNA from 1 species
GACGAACGCUGGCGGCGUGCUUAACACAUGCAAGUCGAACGGAAAGGCCCUGCUUGCAGGGUACUCGAGUGGCGAACGGGUGAGUAACACGUGGGUGAUCUGCCCUGCACUUCGGGAUAAGCCUGGGCAACUGGGUCUAAUACCGGAUAGGAGCCAUUUUUAGUGUGAUGGUUGGAAAGUUUUUUCGGUGUUGGAUGAGCUGGCGGCCUAUCGGCUUGUUGGAGCGGUUAUGGCCUACCAAGGCGGCGACGGGUAGCCGGCCUGAGUGGGUGGACGGCGACACUGGGACUGAGAGAAGGCACAGAUUGCGACGGGAGGCAGAAGGGGGGAAUAUUGCACGAUGGGCGCAAGCCGGAUGCAGCGACGCCGCGGGGGGGAUGACGGCCUUCGGGUUGUAAACUCCUUUCGCUAGGGACGAAGCUUUUUGUGACGGUACCUAGAUAAGAAGCACCGGCUAACUACGUG